rnacentral:lncRNA from 1 species
AAAGACUAUGCGUUUCUGCCACCAGAAACUGACUGAGACUGACUACAAAGGGGACGAAUAUGCUCUUGGGCAAGUAGAUCAGGACCCUACGCAAUGCCACUCCCUUACAUGCUCCUGUCCAACCUCUCUGGACAUUAGGGGGUCACACCUCAUAAAGUUGAAGAAAUGCAGCCCUCCCGGAGGAAGUGAGUAGAGGAGAAGCAGAUGAGGAAGUUGAGGCAUGGAGCUGUUGAGGAAAUGAGACACCAGGAAGCCAAUGCAACCUGACUGGAAAGUCCAGUCUGCUAACCCGUAUACUACUGUAACCUGUUUCCCAAAGACAAACGAGAAACGCGAACUGAAACAUCCGGACUGUGCUGAAUAGCCGAGAAAAAGCGACCUCUGAACUUCAGAAUGUCUAAAGUUAAGCAAAGGGAGCCAUCUAGUGGCGAGAAUUCACACUGCAGCAGAUGACACCACCUGUUAUAAAAUCAAGACUCAAACUUUCAACGCAGAAUAUAAAUUGUGAAUGCAUUAGAAGAAAACGC